rnacentral:rRNA from 1 species
CGGGGGGCAGCAGUGAGGAAUAUUGGUCAAUGGGCGCAAGCCUGAACCAGCCAUGCCGCGUGCAGGACGAAUGCCCUAUGGGUUGUAAACUGCUUUUAUUUGGGAAUAAACCUAUUUACGUGUAGAUAGCUGAAGGUACCAAAUGAAUAAGCACCGGCUAACUCCGUGCCAGCAGCCGCGGUAAUACGGAGGGUGCAAGCGUUAUCCGGAAUCAUUGGGUUUAAAGGGUCCGCAGGCGGUGCUAUAAGUCAGUGGUGAAAUCUCAUAGCUUAACUAUGAAACUGCCAUUGAUACUGUAGCACUUGAAUUCGGUCGAAGUGGGCGGAAUAUGACAUGUAGCGGUGAAAUGCAUAGAUAUGUCAUAGAACACCGAUAGCGAAGGCAGCUCACUAGGCCUGGAUUGACGCUCAGGGACGAAAGCGUGGGGAGCAAACAGGAUUAGAUACCCGAGU